ACAAAAAUAAGAUUUAUUAAUUAUCCUAUGGAUAUCAACAAUCAAGAGACUAACAAGACGCACUUUAUUAGUGCGUGUUUCCAAAGAUAAUUCCCUUUUGCAAGUUUACUACUCGAUCAGCUAAUCGGAAACCCAUACGAUUCCAAUGUCGGAAGGGCAGCCAGCUGACGUGGCAUCUAAUCCACCCAUGGAGAUGCUAGACUCACAUAUGCUUUCCUUUGAAAUACAACACUCUCUCUCACCUAUGAUAGGCUAUAUUUCAUGGGAAAAGUAGCCCUUUUUAUUCCAUCAUCACGUUUUUGUAAUAUGCAGCAGCAGCAGCAGCCGCCUCAUGAAGCCCUUCCUACCAUCAGGUCAUUUCUCCUCCAGAUGUUUUCGAUGGUGCGGCAAGCCAAUGAGAACACUCGUGGGUUUCUGCUUCUAGGCAUUAAUGGCGUCGUAUUUCAUCAAUUGACAUCGGUGACCUCUUAUGUUUUUGAUGAGAAGAGGAAGUUACUCAACUUUGGGGAAGCUUUUAAUAUGUCCCUUCCACCGAUGGUCCAUAUCAGCAUGAUUGUUUGGAGUUUCGCGCUGAAUUAUCUCCUCCUAUUCCGACUUAACCCUGGAAUACAAUGUAUUCUUCUACUCGUGACCAUAUUAAUGCAGUGGUAUUAUUUUGCUGAACUAGCUCGUGGAGCCGCUGGUAUUGCUGUUGACUUAGGUUCGUUCAAGAUGCCCCUCCUAUGGUUUUCUUUUUUCGGGGGCAUCGGCAUGGCGCUGUUUUCUGGUUCAACGGUACUGCUCAUAGUCUUUUUAUCAUGGCUAUGUGCAAGAAGAAGAGGACUGGAAUUCCAAGGAAUAAGGGUGAAUGGGGAUUCCAUAAUAGGGGCUAUGAAUGCGUGAGCAACUCAUCAAACCAUAUAAUAACUUGUAGUUUGCGAUGGACUUGUUAAUAGUUUUUGUCUCAGGCUGUGGGGUUGAUGAGCUAGCUUUUUAGCGGUGAAUUCACCUUUUUACAUGGCCCAACAUAGGAAUGGAUGUUUUAUUACGCAUAUCCGUUACGGGUUUGUUUUGGUGUGUCUUUAAGAAAAAAAAAAAUUCCUCUAAAAGAGAUCUUUUUUUUCAAAGAUCUUUUUAAAAGGUAAAAAUAAUUAUGUUCAAAUA